UCCACAAGGAAACCAGCCCAUUAAACACUAAUAUUCUUGAAACUCAACAAUUUGGAAAUUAGGGUUCUUCACAAUCUUUGAUUUACGAUUUACGAGAAGCUGAGAUGCGAAGUCGCCGUGACGAUUCCGUUGGUUGGGGUUUCGAUCACGUCUUUUCACCUUCUUUUCUUCCAUUGAAAUGAGACAUCUUCCAGAUCCAUCUAAUUAAACAUGUUUUUUUUAACUCCUUGAGCCACGAUCUACACUUCAAUGUGGGUUAGUUUUCUUAGAGGCAUUGUUUCUACGAUAUAAAAAGGUCCUGUAGGUGCUCCUCCCCUGUUGAGGUCAGAUUACUGCGUUUCUGGGAGGGCAGGAAUGUCAAGUGCGCUGGUGAACUCAUUUGAGAACUAUUCAGAGUCAAAUGAAUGCAAGUUCCGAGCUUUCUUUGUUGCUUAACGUUUUUGUUCUUGGUUGCUGACUCUUUUCACCGGAUUGGCUAGCAGAGGAAGUAACAGCAGGCUCUUAUGAUUUAUGACGUCUCUUGACGCUGCUGAAACAUGAUCAAAGAGAUGACGUCUAUCAAAGUGAAGGUUGGUCCCUGGAUCAAAGUCACAACAUUGAAUCUGAGCUAUGCUCUUCAAAUUUCGCAUCUUGCUGGAUCUGGAGAAGGGAGAAGAAAGUUGUAGUACGUUAGGAGAGAUGGUAAACUGUUAGUUUGUAUUGGUCCAUUUUUCAAAUUUUGGUCGUUAGUGUGCAAAGUUAUUAGUCUAUUACCUUACGUGACUUGAAACUUGGUCGGCCGAGAACAGAGACUUCUUUCAAUUUGUCUAAUAUUUUCUA